rnacentral:rRNA from 1 species
UGGGGAAUAUUGGGCAAUGGGCGAAAGCCUGAUGGAGCGACGUCGCGUGAUGGACGAAGUGCUUCGGCACGUAAACAUCUUUUAUGUGGGAUGAAAUUAUUGACAGUACCACAUGAAUAAGGGGCUCCUAACUCUGUGCCAGCAGGAGCGGUGAUACAGAGGCCGCAAGCGUUAUCCGGAAUCACUGGGCGUAAAGGGUGUCGAGGCGGUUGUAUUAGUCGUUCGUAAAAUCUACGAGCUUAACUUGUAGGCGGCGAACGAAACGGUACGACUUGAGGUUUGGAGAGGUGCGUGGAACUCACGGUGUAGGGGUGAAAUCCGUUGAUAUCGUGGGGAACACCAAAGGCGAAGGCAGCGCACUGGCCAAAAUCUGACGCUCACACACGAAAGCUAGGGUAGCGAAGAGGAUUAGAUACCCCCGUAGUCCCUGAGCGGGCUGGCAAGGCGCAU